UUGAAGAGUUUGAUCAUGGCUCAGAUUGAACGCUGGCGGCAGGCCUAACACAUGCAAGUCGAGCGGUAGCACAGAGAGCUUGCUCUCGGGUGACGAGCGGCGGACGGGUGAGUAAUGUCUGGGAAACUGCCUGAUGGAGGGGGAUAACUACUGGAAACGGUAGCUAAUACCGCAUAAUGUCGCAAGACCAAAGUGGGGGACCUUCGGGCCUCAUGCCAUCAGAUGUGCCCAGAUGGGAUUAGCUAGUAGGUGGGGUAACGGCUCACCUAGGCGACGAUCCCUAGCUGGUCUGAGAGGAUGACCAGCCACACUGGAACUGAGACACGGUCCAGACUCCUACGGGAGGCAGCAGUGGGGAAUAUUGCACAAUGGGCGCAAGCCUGAUGCAGCCAUGCCGCGUGUGUGAAGAAGGCCUUCGGGUUGUAAAGCACUUUCAGCAGGGAGGAAGGCGAUAAGGUUAAUAACCUUGUCGAUUGACGUUACCCGCAGAAGAAGCACCGGCUAACUCCGUGCCAGCAGCCGCGGUAAUACGGAGGGUGCAAGCGUUAAUCGGAAUUACUGGGCGUAAAGCGCACGCAGGCGGUCUGUCAAGUCGGAUGUGAAAUCCCCGGGCUCAACCUGGGAACUGCAUUCGAAACUGGCAGGCUAGAGUCUUGUAGAGGGGGUAGAAUUCCAGGUGUAGCGGUGAAAUGCGUAGAGAUCUGGAGGAAUACCGGUGGCGAAGGCGGCCCCCUGGACAAAGACUGACGCUCAGGUGCGAAAGCGUGGGGAGCAAACAGGAUUAGAUACCCUGGUAGUCCACGCCGUAAACGAUGUCGAUUUGGAGGUUGUGCCCUUGAGGCGUGGCUUCCGGAGCUAACGCGUUAAAUCGACCGCCUGGGGAGUACGGCCGCAAGGUUAAAACUCAAAUGAAUUGACGGGGGCCCGCACAAGCGGUGGAGCAUGUGGUUUAAUUCGAUGCAACGCGAAGAACCUUACCUGGUCUUGACAUCCACAGAACUUAGCAGAGAUGCUUUGGUGCCUUCGGGAACUGUGAGACAGGUGCUGCAUGGCUGUCGUCAGCUCGUGUUGUGAAAUGUUGGGUUAAGUCCCGCAACGAGCGCAACCCUUAUCCUUUGUUGCCAGCGGUCCGGCCGGGAACUCAAAGGAGACUGCCAGUGAUAAACUGGAGGAAGGUGGGGAUGACGUCAAGUCAUCAUGGCCCUUACGACCAGGGCUACACACGUGCUACAAUGGCAUAUACAAAGAGAAGCGACCUCGCGAGAGCAAGCGGACCUCAUAAAGUAUGUCGUAGUCCGGAUUGGAGUCUGCAACUCGACUCCAUGAAGUCGGAAUCGCUAGUAAUCGUAGAUCAGAAUGCUACGGUGAAUACGUUCCCGGGCCUUGUACACACCGCCCGUCACACCAUGGGAGUGGGUUGCAAAAGAAGUAGGUAGCUUAACCUUCGGGAGGGCGCUUACCACUUUGUGAUUCAUGACUGGGGUGAAGUCGUAACAAGGUAACCGUAGGGGAACCUGCGGUUGGAUCACCUCCUU
rnacentral:rRNA from 1 species